rnacentral:lncRNA from 1 species
UUUACCAAAUUAUGCAUAGUUGUGAUUAAUAUUUGGAGGCGAGGGAGAUCAGGUACCUGAACAAUCAAGUUAUCAUAACAUGAAAAGCUUCAUAAAUUAAUCAUCAAAUCCAAGGAAAUCAUACACAGAUGAAUGCCUCAAGAAAAGGGGAACAGAUAUGAUCAGAAGCAAAUAUGAAAAAUCAAAGUGAUACCAUUCAGACACAAAAAACAAAAGGAAAUCCGAAAUUAAGAGCUUGGUGACGAGAUUCUUCUGAUCUGACAAAGGAGGAUCAGACUCUCUCGGCCGCAACCAAAGUUGUAACAAUCAACGCAAGGAACCCAAUCACCGUAGUGAGGGAAACCAGAUUGCCCUUACUCGCUUCCGGCUGUGGAGCCAUGGCCAUGCCAGGUGUGUGCUCGUGCCCCUCGUGGGCAGCAACAACCAUAAUCAACAAGGCAAAACAUGCAGCAAAGAUGGUUGCUCUAACCCAAGAGCAGGAAGCCAUAUUUACAGCGCGUUAAUUUAGAUUUUAGAGCAACAAUAUCUUAGAGAAUGGAUUGAUUUAAAUAGAUAAAAGUUGAUUGCUUCUGAGUUUUGACUUCAAUAUAAAAAUGGAUUUACAAAUGUUGAUGGGGCAGCACGUUCAUAAGGGCACAAGUGUACGAUCCUACGUACGAAGCUUUAAAAAUUG